rnacentral:sRNA from 1 species
CUGAAUUUAUGGCCAGGUUACAUGAACAUCUGAAGUAUUUUGUAAAUAUGAAAAUUUCUACAGACAAGUCAUGGCAAGGAGUUACCAUCUACUUCUCAGGCCAUGAGACUCCUGGAGAAGGAGAGCAUAAAAUCAUGGAAUUUAUCAGAUCCGAGAAAGCAAAGCCAGAUCAUGAUCCAAACACCAGACACUGUCUUUAUGGUUUAGAUGCUGACUUGAUUAUGCUUGGAUUAACAAGUCAUGAGGCACAUUUUUCUCUCUUAAGAGAAGAAGUUCGAUUUGGUGGCAAAAAAACACAACGGGUGUGUGCUCCAGAAGAAACUACAUUUCACCUUCUACACUUGUCUUUAAUGAGAGAGUAUAUUGACUAUGAGUUUUCAUUAUUAAAAGAAAAGAUCACAUUUAAAUAUGAUAUUGAAAGGAUAAUAGAUGAUUGGAUUUUGAUGGGGUUUCUUGUUGGUAAUGAUUUUAUCCCUCAUCUACCUCAUUUACAUAUUAAUCAUGAUGCACUGCCUCUUCUUUAUGGAACAUAUAUUACCAUCCUGCCAGAACUUGGGGGUUAUAUUAAUGAAAGUGGGCAUCUCAACUUACCUCGAUUUGAGAAAUACCUGGUGAAACUAUCAGAUUUUGAUCGGGAGCACUUCAGUGAAGUUUUUGUGGACCUAAAAUGGUUUGAAAGCAAAGUUGGUAACAAGUACCUCAACGAAGCAGCAGGUGUCGCAGCAGAAGAAGCCAGGAACUACAAGGAAAAGAAAAAGUUAAAGGGCCAGGAAAAUUCUCUGUGUUGGGCUGCUUUAGACAAAAAUGAAGGCGAAAUGGUAACUUCUAAGGAUAAUUUAGAAGAUGAGGCUGAAGAUGAUGACCUAUUUGAAACUGAGUUUAGACAAUAUAAAAGAACAUAUUACAUGACGAAGAUGGGGGUUGACGUAGUAUCUGAUGACUUUCUGGCUGAUCAAGCUGCAUGUUAUGUUCAGGCAAUACAGUGGAUUUUGCACUAUUACUAUCAUGGAGUUCAGUCCUGGAGCUGGUAUUAUCCUUAUCAUUAUGCACCUUUCCUAUCUGAUAUACGCAACAUCAGUACACUCAAAAUCCAUUUUGAACUAGGAAAACCUUUUAAGCCAUUUGAACAGCUUCUUGCUGUACUUCCAGCAGCCAGCAAAAAUUUACUUCCUACAUGCUACCAGCAUUUGAUGACCAAUGAAGACUCACCAAUUAUAGAAUAUUACCCACUUGAUUUUAAAACUGACCUAAAUGGGAAACAACAGGAAUGGGAAGCUGUGGUGUUAAUCCCUUUUAUUGAUGAGAAGCGAUUAUUGGAAGCCAUGGAGACAUGUAACCACUCCCUCAAAAAGGAAGAGAGGAAAAGAAACCAACAUAGUGAGUGCCUAAUGUGCUGGUAUGAUAGAGACACAGAGUUUAUCUAUCCUUCUCCAUGGCCAGAAAAGUUCCCUGCCAUAGAACGAUGUUGUACAAGGUAUAAAAUAAUAUCAUUAGAUGCUUGGCGUGUAGACAUAAACAAAAACAAAAUAACCAGAAUUGACCAGAAGGCAUUAUAUUUCUGUGGAUUUCCUACUCUGAAACACAUCAAACACAAAUUUUUUUUGAAGAAAAGUGGUGUUCAAGUAUUCCAGCAAAGCAGUCGUGGAGAAAACAUGAUGUUGGAAAUUUUAGUGGAUGCAGAAUCAGAUGAACUUACCAUAGAAAAUGUAGCUUCAUCAGUGCUUGGAAAAUCUGUCUUUGUUAAUUGGCCUCACCUUGAGGAAGCUAGAGUCGUGGCUGUAUCAGAUGGAGAAACUAAGUUUUACUUGGAAGAACCUCCAGGAACACAGAAGCUUUAUUCAGGAAGAACUGCCCCACCAUCUAAAGUAGUUCAUCUUGGAGAUAAAGAACAAUCUAACUGGGCAAAAGAAGUACAAGGAAUUUCAGAACACUACCUGAGAAGAAAAGGAAUAAUAAUAAAUGAAACAUCUGCAAUUGUGUAUGCUCAGUUACUCACAGGUCGUAAAUAUCAAAUAAAUCAAAAUGGUGAAGUUCGUCUAGAGAAACAGUGGUCAAAACAAGUUGUUCCUUUUGUUUAUCAAACUAUUGUCAAAGACAUCCGAGCUUUCGACUCCCGUUUCUCCAAUAUCAAAACAUUGGAUGAUUUGUUUCCUCUGAGAAGUAUGGUCUUUAUGCUGGGAACUCCCUAUUAUGGCUGCACUGGAGAAGUUCAGGAUUCAGGUGAUGUGAUUACAGAAGGUAGGAUUCGUGUGAUUUUCAGCAUUCCAUGUGAACCCAAUCUUGAUGCUUUAAUACAGAACCAGCAUAAAUAUUCUAUAAAGUACAACCCAGGAUAUGUGUUGGCCAGUCGCCUUGGAGUGAGUGGAUACCUUGUUUCAAGGUUUACAGGAAGUAUUUUUAUUGGAAGAGGAUCUAGGAGAAAGUAAGUUUAUGUUAGAGAAAUUUACUUAAAGUGGGAGAAAAAUUAAAUGAUAAAGAUUAAAUGCUUAAUAUUUCAGUAUUUAUUUUCUUAUUAAUUGCUCUGGAUUGUCUUAAAAUUGUGCAUAAAUUUCUCUGAUGGUAAUCUUUCAUCUGAAUGGCACAUGUUUUAGGUGGUUGGAAAAGACAGUUCUUAUUUUUUAGCAGCUAAUAAAUUGAACCUUGAAAAAAGGU